rnacentral:rRNA from 1 species
UACGUAGGGCGCAAGCGUUGUCCGGAAUUAUUGGGCGUAAAGAGCUCGUAGGCGGUUUGUCGCGUCUGUCGUGAAAGCUUGGGGCUUAACCCCAAGUCUGCGGUGGAUACGGGUAGACUAGAGGCAGGUAGGGGAGAACGGAAUUCCCGGUGUAGCGGUGAAAUGCGCAGAUAUCGGGAGGAACACCGGUGGCGAAGGCGGUUCUCUGGGCCUGUACUGACGCUGAGGAGCGAAAGCGUGGGGAGCGAACAGG